rnacentral:rRNA from 1 species
AUUCCAGCUCCAAUAGCGUAUAUUAAAGUUGUUGCAGUUAAAAAGCUCGUAGUUGGAUUUGUGGUGGCGCCUGCGGUCCCAAAUUUUGGGUAUUGUCGGGCGCUGCCAUCCUUGGGUGGAACCUGUGUGGCAUUAGGUUGUCGUGCAGGGGAUGCCCAUCGUUUACUGUGAAAAAAUUAGAGUGUUCAAAGCAGGCUUAUGCCGUUGAAUAUAUUAGCAUGGAAUAAUAAGAUAGGCCUUUGGUACUAUUUUGUUGGUUUGCGCACCAAAGGAAUGAUUAAUAGGGACAGUUGGGGCUCUUCGUAUUCCAUUGUCAGAGGUGAAAUUCUUGGAUUUCUGGAAGACGAACUACUGCGAAAGCAUUGAGCAAGGAUGUUUUC